AUUUACACUGAAAGACCCCCGAAGGGAGACCCUCACUCAAGUCUCGGGAAGGCAUGCACCCAGUGAGACACUGAGACCG
rnacentral:pre_miRNA from 7 species